rnacentral:rRNA from 1 species
UACAGAGGGUGCAAGCGUUGUUCGGAAUUAUUGGGCGUAAAGGGAGUGUAGGCGGUCUGUUAAGUCUUCUGUGAAAUCUACGGGCUCAGCCUGUAACGUGCAGAGGAAACUGGCAGACUUGAGUGUCGGAGAGGAUAGGGGAAUACCCAGUGUAGAGGUGAAAUUCGUAGAGAUUGGGUGGAACACCAGUGGCGAAGGCGCCUGUCUGGCUGACAACUGACGCUGAGACUCGAAAGCAUGGGGAGCAAACAGG